AGAGACUUGCUGUUGCUGUUAUUUUCUCCAGAGAAUUCUAAGAGAUUACAAAGACCUGAGGAGACUUUUUGAAAAAAUGUGCAUAAACUGAUUGGAUUCAACAAUCUAACUUCCUCUGGGGCUACUGAAAUGAGACUGCCCCACCUCUUCCCUGGAGGCUUCCAGCUCUGUCAUGGCCCUCCAGUGACUUCCUGUUGACAGUGUCCUUGGGAUGGAAUCACUCCAUCAACUCCUCUAAAGGACAGUUUCAAAACCCCAUGGUUCUUCUGCUAAUCUGUAGCAACACUUGGCUACCCAAACGACUGGAGGCAUAAACCGACCUGGAGACUUGGGAAUCGGGACAAUGAGGAGUCUGCCCUGUUGCCUUUGGAAAUCCUCUUCUGAACUUCUGCAUGAGAGAGCAGCGAUAUUUCAUUUCUGGGGGUAACUGAGGUGGGAUCUGGGGACCUAACGUAAAAGCCAAGGUGCCUCGAACAACGUAUGAGGGGGGCACAGGGCUCCACUGUUCAAAAGAAUGCUUAUUUUUUCCACGCAGAGAAAAAGUAUUUAUUGAGCACCUACUGUGUACCCAGCAUUGUGCUUGGUGAUACAGAGGCAUAAUCAAAUUUAAGACCUGGCUUCUGCUAGCUUCAGAGCAGUAUGUUGGAAAGAGAACAGGUUUUGGGAAUGGCAUAGGUAUCAAUUAGAAAAUGAUGCACAUCUGCGCAACCACCAUCGCGGUAACGGAGUGCAGUUGGAGUUUAGAAGAGUGAGAGAGGAAGGUUGGAAUUGUUGGGGAAGUCUUCCUGGGGGAAGUGAGAUUUGAGUGGGUGUCUGAGGAUGGAGGUUGUAGAUGAUGAUGUCUAAAAGCGUUACCUUUAUACACAGGACACCUGGGUGUGACUCACAUGCCUCAUCCCAGAGACUGUGUCACACUGGGGAAGUCAUCUCGUCCUUCUGAGCUUCAGUUUCCUAAUCUGUAAAAUAGGGAAAAUGCAUCACAGGGUUGUGAAGAUUAAAUAUGAUACCAUGGUAAUUGACUGAGGUGCCCAGCUAUUUCAAUGUGAGAAAAGAAAGGUUUUUUGACCAAUGGUGCUGGAGCCACUGGAUAUCCACGUGGGUGGAAAAAUGGGCCUCGGCCCCUACACCAGUCCACAUACAAAAGUUAAUUUGAGGUAGAUUACAGAUAUAAUAUAUAAAACCAGAGCCAUGACUCUUCUAAAAGAAAGCAGAGGAGAAUAUCUUAGUCAUCUUGGGGUAGACAAAGAUUUCUUUGUCAGGACAUGGAAAGCACUAACCAUAAAAGAUAAAAUCGAUAAAUUGGACUACUUCAGAAUUAAAAACCUCUGCUCAUCAAAAGAUACUGUUAAGAAAAUAAAAAGGCAAGACACAGAUUGGGAGAAAAUAUUUGUAAUACAUAUAGCAGAAAAGGACUUACAUCCAGAAAAUACCAAGAACUCUUACAACUCAACAAGAAGACAAACUCACUGAAAACAUGGACAAAAGAUUUGAACAGAAAACUCACGAAAGAAGAUAUAUGAGUGGACAAUAAAUAUACGAAAAGAUAUUCGAUGUCUUUAUUUAUCAGGAAAAGGCAAAUUAACACCAGAAUGAGAUAGCAGUAGAUAUCCAUUAAAAUGACUAAAAUGAAAACAACUGAUAAUACCAAGCUGUAGAACAACAGGAACCCUUAUACACUGCUGACAGGAAUUUAAAUGGUACAACCACUCUGGGGAACUCUUAGCCAAUUUCUUACAAAGUUAAACAUACAUCUACCCCGCGAGUCAGCAAUUAAAUUUAUAGAUAUUUAUCCAAGAGAUAUGGAAACCUAUGUCCACAAAAAGGCUUGCACAAGAACGUUGACAGCAGUCUCAUUCAUAAGAGCCAGAAACUAGAAACGACCUACGUGUCCAACAAUAGGUGGAAAGAUAGGCAAACUAUGGUAUAUACACAGAACUGAACGUUACUUGGCAAUAAAAAGAACAAAUUACUGAUACAUAACAACAUUGGUGAAACUCAUUAUGCUGAGUAAAAGAAAUCAGACACAAGAGAACACACAGCAUGACUUCAUUUAUGCUAAAUUCUAGAAACGAGAUGAAUCUAUGGUGAUAGAAAUCAAACAAUGGUUGUCUUCGUGGGAGGGAACGGACUAGAAAGUGGCACGAAGGAAUGUUGUGGAUGAUGCACAAGAGCUAUAUCUUCACUAGACUGGUGGUUACACAAGUGUACAUGCUUAUCAAAUGCAUUGAUCUGAAUACUGAGGACCUGUGCAUUUUACAGUAUGUAAAUUAUUCCUAAAUAAAUAGGACAGCCUGUUCAAGUGCGCAGCACACGGUAACUUCUCUGGAAUGGUGUCUAUGGGUAUUACAGGCAUGGACAACAAUACCAGGGGUUUUAGUCUUGAUCUCCUGCCCUAGUAAGUCAGCGGCUCUGCCAGCCAUCUCCUCCGCCGAGCAGAGUCCUGUGGGACUCACGUGGAACUCUGGGCAGAUGUUGCGAUGUUCUUGUUUUCACUCACAGUGAUGCACCUGAAUUCUUAACUCACACAUAUUCUCUUUCUCCGCUCACCCCCUUCUCUCUCUCUCUAACAGACAUACAAUUGUGGACAUUCCUUCCUUCCUCCCUCCCUCCAUUCCUCCUUCCCUCACUUCUUUCCUUCCAUCCUAUUAACUACCAUCUUUAUCCCACCUCAUUCCAAAGCCAAUAUAAUGUGGCUCAUAAAAAUACAUGUCAGUCACUGGAUAAAAUGGUGUAGGGAAUAAAUACAAACCCAAAGCCCCAAGGAAAUAGACACGACUUGGUCCUGAACCCUUGCUAGAGGCAGACCACAGAUUUGGCUCUGAGCUUCCUAGCCACAGCAGCAGAAAGGGAAACA